UUCAAGUUUUCAGUACCAUACUUAUCUUUUGUUUUUCUGUAUUUGAAAAGUUCUGUAUAUUGAGAUGCUUGUCUUUGUAUUUGGCUUUGGUAUGCUUUUUUGGCUAUCAUACUUUUGAUAUCUACUUUUUGAAUCCCUUAUCAUUUUAUUUUGUCCUAUCAAAUCAUGAAAAGUCUACUUUGUAUUUGGUCAUAAUUAAAAUAAAUGCCAUUCUGUAAUUCUUUUGGUCUUUAGGAUAUUUUUUCUUAUACACAGACAAUUUAGAAAUUGAGACUAGAUCGAAGAGCUAUAAAAAAAAAUACAGAAACUAAAAUGAUGCCAUCAUAGGACAAUCUUAGUAAAAACAAAAUAGUUGCUGUUUGAAAAAAAAAUAAAUUGCUUCGCCGAGCGUAGCUGGAUACGACCGCAGAGGUCCAACCCUGAACAAUUGGGGCAAAAAUGGACGCAAUAUUCGCGCUUGAUACAGGUCAGAAUUUGGAUUGUAAUUAAAUAUUUGACACAUAAAAGGUUUCUGACACAGAAUAACGGUAGUCAAAGAACUCAGAAUUGGUUAUAUGAUUUGAAUUUAUAUUCAAUUUUUUGCUUUUGUGCACUACACUUUGCUGUUGCGAAUUGACCCCCCUCUCCCCCCACAAAAAAAAAUAAAAAAUUUACCCCCCCCUUUUUUUUUGCUUUUGUGCAAUACACUAUGCUGUUGCGUAUUAA